AAAUGACUGUACCCGAAUAAGAAGGUCCGGCUAACUUCGUGCCAGCAGCCGCGGUAAUACGAAGGGACCUAGCGUAGUUCGGAAUUACUGGGCUUAAAGAGUUCGUAGGUGGUUGAAAUAGUUGGUGGUGAAAUCCCAGAGCUUAACUCUGGAACUGCCAUCAAAACUUUUCAGCUAGAGUAUGAUAGAGGAAAGCAGAAUUUCUAGUGUAGAGGUGAAAUUCGUAGAUAUUAGAAAGAAUACCAAUUGCGAAGGCAGCUUUCUGGAUCAUUACUGACACUGAGGAACGAAAGCAUGGGUAGCGAAGAGGAUUAGAUACCCUCGUAGUCCAUGCCGUAAACGAUGUGUGUUAGACGUUGGAAAUUUAUUUUCAGUGUCGCAGGGAAACCGAUAAACACACCGCCUGGGGAGUACGACCGCAAGGUUAAAACUCAAAUGAAUUGACGGGGACCCGCACAAGUAGUGGAGCAUGUGGUUUAAUUCGAAGAUACGCGCAGAACCUUACCAACACUUGACAUGUUCGUCGCGACUCUAAGAGAUUAGAGUUUUCGGUUCGGCCGGACGAAACACAGGUGCUGCAUGGCUGUCGUCAGCUCGUGUCGUGAGAUGUUGGGUUAAGUCCCGCAACGAGCGCAACCCUCACUUUUAGUUGCCAUCAUUAAGUUGGGCACUCUGAAAGAACUGCCAGUGAUAAGCUGGAGGAAGGUGGGGAUGACGUCAAGUCCUCAUGGCCCUUACGUGUUGGGCUACACACGUGCUACAAUGGUAUCUACAACAGGAAGCAAGACUGCGAAGUUAAGCAAAUCCCUAAAAGAUACCUCAGUUCGGAUUGCACUCUGCAACUCGAGUGCAUGAAGCUGGAAUUACUAGUAAUCGUGGAUCAGCGUGCCACGGUGAAUGCGUUCCCGGGUCUUGUACACACCGCCCGUCACACCAUGGGAGUUGGUUCUACCUUAAGGCAAGGUUUCAAACCCUUGACCACGGUAUAGUCAGCGACUGGGGUG
rnacentral:rRNA from 1 species